GAACUGCCCACGUGAGUGUGGCAAGGUUGACAGCCUUCCAAACGAUGGGGCAUGGACUGCCUGCCACUCACAAUGGCAGAAUCUUUUCUCCCUGGAGACAUGGACGUUGAGUCCCUUGAGUUAAUUUCUCAAGUGGAACACUUUCACUCCUUGGGCCUCUGAAUUGGGGUGACUGUACAGCAGCUGAGGUGACUGUACAACCUCAUUCCUCUUUGUCCUUCAUUUUGACAACUGAGUCAUCCCCCAAAGAUAACUUAGGGUUCCUGUUCUUCUAUCCUAAAAUAGCCUGGCGCAGGCACGCUGCUGAAUAUAGCAGACACUUGCACUAUUUUUCUUCCAUGAUCCUUCGGGCAGCGUUUUACAUCUACUUUUUGGAAAAACAACAGCAAAACAACCUUGGUUUUCUUGGCAAACAACUCUGCAUAGGAUAGUGCUGUUCUCUCUGCAUAAGCUCUACUUCAAGGCCCUCAUCACAGCACCAUGCUUUACGGAUGACAUCAACAUCAAGAUUUGGCCUUCAGAGCUCAGAAGAAGACCCUCACAGUUUUUCUGUCUCUCUGACGACUCCCUCAGUUUAACACAUGCCGUUGGACUACAAUGUGUUUGGGAGUGGCUGUUUUGAAUUUCUACAUUAAAACAUCAUUGAAUUUCUUGGGAAAUGAAGAUCUGGUGCUUUUCUGCAUGAAGUUUGGAAGUUUUCUGCUGUUUUACGGUCAGAAACUCUGUCCCUGUUGACUCCUGCACUCUGUGUGUGAGUAAGCUUGAUGAUGAGGCACAAGCAUUUUUCUUCACUCUGUUUUUCUUUGCUAUUUGGACAGAAUAAUCUCUGUUGACCCGACGACAGUCUGUGGAGUCUUUGGAUCUGCUGCUAACGUCUAUGGUGGCUUUAUAAUAGCUUCGCAAUAAUACGUUUUUAAUUCCA